rnacentral:lncRNA from 1 species
GGAGGAAGAACUAGGGACUGAUAUUUCGGUGGCAAACUGGGAGGAUAUAGUAUAUCCACACCUGCUCCAUUAACUCCAGACAUCGUCUCAUACAAUUCAAGUGGUUGCUGCAGCAACCCUACUUCCCGUGGCUAAGAACGCCCCCCCACAACAACAAAAAACAGUAGAGAUGGAGAAGUUGGGUGGUUCAUACAGCUCUGUGUAUGAGUCGACUGGGCAUGCUGCCUGGGCAGACCAUCGGCAACAUCAGGACCUGGAGACAUCGGACUACCUCAAGGGAAAUAUCAAAUACUUUUACAUGAACCCCUGUGAGAAAUACAGAGCACGGAGACGGAAACCAUUGGAAACUGAGGCUCCACAUCAUCAAGAUCACCAUCAUUACCAUCAUCAUUACCAUCCAGGCACUGACCAAUGAGGG